ensembl:lncRNA
AAAGGUCUGGCCGACUCUGGGUGAGAAAGUCUUCAGCGUGAAGUGUUCCUGCUCCCUUGUUCCCGGCCACUUUCCCACCACCUCUGCAUCACUAAUCUCUCAAUUCCACUGUGCUCUUGGCACUUGAGAGUGACUUUGUGCUCAGAGGAACAGGCCUGGGACUCCCUGACUGUCCAUUGGCUAAGAAUCUGCCUUCCAACGCAGGGGAGAGCAUGCUUGCUGACUCGAUUGUUGGAGAAUUCUAAGAAAACCAUGAGUUGAGUGGAAGGGUGAGAGAACCAGACAACCAACCAGCAGUCCAAGGAAGGUGAAGGCACAAUUUCUGUUGCUGACUUCUGAUGAACAAAUUACCAGAGAAGCAACAGGUCUGGAACUGUUACAAGGAGAGGUUGGCAGGAAGGCUUUCUUGGAGCAGUUUCACACAGCCUCGGCCACCCACCCAUCUGCUGCCCACAUGCUGUCGUCCUUUCAAGUGUCAUCUAGAGAUGUCUACUUGUCAACCGCAGGAACAAAGCAGGAGUCUUGGCCUUGACAGGGAUUUCCCCUCCUGUGAUAUUUCACACUAAGCCUCAUUCACACCCAAUGUGAAGGCAGGGCUGCUUCUAAAACCCAUUUCACAUUUUAAAACCAAUUCUGUU